rnacentral:rRNA from 1 species
AUUGAACGCUGGCGGCAGGCCUAACACAUGCAAGUCGAGCGGGGUUUUCGGACCUAGCGGCGGACGGGUGAGUAAUGCGUAGGAAGCUGCCCGAUAGAGGGGGAUACCAGUUGGAAACGACUGUUAAUACCGCAUAAUGUCUACGGACCAAAGUGUGGGACCUUCGGGCCACAUGCUAUCGGAUGCGCCUACGUGGGAUUAGCUAGUUGGUGAGGUAAUGGCUCACCAAGGCGACGAUCUCUAGCUGGUUUGAGAGGAUGAUCAGCCACACUGGAACUGAGACACGGUCCAGACGCCUACGGGAGGCGGCAGUGGGGAAUAUUGGACAAUGGGCGCGAGCCUGAUCCAGCCAUGCCGCGUGUGUGAAGAAGGCCUUCGGGUUGUAAAGCACUUUCAGCGGGGAGGAAGGGUGGUGUGUUAAUAGCACAUCAUUUUGACGUUACUCGCAGAAGAAGCACCGGCUAACUCUGUGCCAGCCGCCGCCGUAAUAC